rnacentral:rRNA from 1 species
UACGUAGGGUGCAAGCGUUGUCCGGAAUUAUUGGGCGUAAAGAGCUCGUAGGCGGUCUGUCACGUCGGAUGUGAAAAUCCAGGGCUUAACCCUGGACCUGCAUUCGAUACGGGCAGACUAGAGUUCGGCAGGGGAGACUGGAAUUCCUGGUGUAGCGGUGAAAUGCGCAGAUAUCAGGAGGAACACCGGUGGCGAAGGCGGGUCUCUGGGCCGAUACUGACGCUGAGGAGCGAAAGCGUGGGGAGCGAACAGG